rnacentral:rRNA from 1 species
AGAGUUUGAUCAUGGCUCAGAACGAACGCUGGCGGCAGGCUUAACACAUGCAAGUCGAACGGGCCCUUCGGGGUCAGUGGCAGACGGGUGAGUAACACGUGGGAACGUACCUUUCAGUUCGGAAUAACCCAGGGAAACUUGGGCUAAGACCGGAUACGCCCUUUUGGGGAAAGAUUUAUCGCUGAGAGAUCGGCCCGCGUCUGAUUAGCUAGUUGGUGAGGUAAAGGCUCACCAAGGCGACGAUCAGUAGCUGGUCUGAGAGGAUGAUCAGCCACAUUGGGACUGAGACACGGCCCAAACUCCUACGGGAGGCAGCAGUGGGGAAUAUUGGACAAUGGGCGCAAGCCUGAUCCAGCCAUGCCGCGUGAGUGAUGAAGGCCUUAGGGUUGUAAAGCUCUUUCGGCGGGGACGAUAAUGACGGUACCCGCAGAAGAAGCCCCGGCUAACUUCGUGCCAGCAGCCGCGGUAAUACGAAGGGGGCUAGCGUUGUUCGGAAUCACUGGGCGUAAAGGGCGCGUAGGCGGCCAUAUAAGUCGGGGGUGAAAGCCUGUGGCUCAACCACAGAAUUGCCUUCGAUACUGUAUGGCUCGAGACCGGAAGAGGUAAGUGGAACUGCGAGUGUAGAGGUGAAAUUCGUAGAUAUUCGCAAGAACACCAGUGGCGAAGGCGGCUUACUGGUCCGGUUCUGACGCUGAGGCGCGAAAGCGUGGGGAGCAAACAGGAUUAGAUACCCUAGUAGUCC